GCGCCUGUAGCUCAGUAGGAUAGAGCAACGGCCUCCUAAGCCGUAGGUCGCAGGUUCGAUUCCUGCCAGGCGCACCA
rnacentral:tRNA from 1 species